rnacentral:lncRNA from 1 species
CCAUUUUUUCCAUUCGAAAAUUGCGAACCAAAUUCGUAGACAUUGCAAAAUCGGAUAUGUCCAAUUUCUAUCCAAAACAGACUUUCCCAAUCCCGUUAGAACUGGAUGGAUUAUUCAAAUCCCACUCAUUUGGGACGUGAUCCCCAAAAAUAACCCUGAAAGAAACCUCUUAAUUCUCUCAUCCAAAAAAUUUAUGAACCUCUCAUCCAAAAACCUAGUGAUGCAUUCGCCUCCUCCAUAGGUCGCCCACAGCCGUCUCGUCGAUCUCCACCUGCCGCCGCUCGAUCUUCGCUGUCAUCGCGUUCAAGGUCUCAUCGCUGCCGUCACGUUCAAGGUCUCACCGCAGUUGUUGCGUUCAAGUUCUCAUCGUUGUUAAUCUCAUUUUCCACGUAAGUAUCAUUGUUUUCAGUAGAGGUUUCGUUGUUUUCACCAUUGAUUAUAAUGGUUCAAUAGAGGUUCAAUUGUUUUCGCAAUUUAUUUUUUGGGCUAAUUUUCGGAUAAGGGUUCAGUAGAUGUUGCUUUGCUUUCACAAUUGAUUUUUAGGACUAGUUUUCGGAUAAAGGGUUCAUCUUUAACAAAUUUCCAACACUGUGUCUUUUUUAUGAAAAUUUUUGCUUAUAUGUUUUUGGUUGAUGUUGGCUGGUUAUUAUUAUGGUUAUAGAUGGUUGAAUUUUUUUAAUUAUUUUGGUCAUUAUAUAGACUGGAAACAUAACUAAUACAAGUUGCCUAUCACGAGUUAUGGUGAGGUUGAUGACGUCUUACGAACACCGUCAGAGGAUGGUGUUCACAGUGUACUUGUUGGUUUUCUUAUAUGCACUUCUCAUUCUCCGACGAGUUCGUCGACCACCAAUUCGUCAUGGACCAGCAUAUAGCUUGGUAGAUACACUGUUACAAGGUGAGAAAGCUAGGGCAGAUAUCAUGUCCAAGGACACAAAAAGGGGUGACCGAUCAAGCAUAGAUAAAAUUACAGUCGCUAUCCACGUGUUUGAAUGGUUGUGCAAAGUACUGGUUGAUGAAGGCGGGUUGAAAAGAACUAAAAAUGUGGAAGUAGAUGAGAUGGUUGUGAUGUUUGUGUACACUCUGGAUCAUAAUGUGAAGAAUAGGAUACUACCACAGGCGUUUGGUAAAUACGGGAAAAAAAAUUGUGCUACUAUCCACGCAGUUCUCACAUCUAUUCUUCGAAUGCAUCCCAUUUUAUACAUCAAAGCUAAACCUGUUAUCGCAGACAUUGACCUCCCACAAUGGAAACAUUUCAAGGUGCGUUUUGAAUUUUUUUUAAAACUAUUCAAUAACUCAUGUUUUAUUUAGCAUUUCUGUUUAUAGUAGAUAGUUUGUAUGCAGAACUGUCUCGGUGCUUUAGAUGGUACUCAUGUCAAAGUUUGGGCAACAGUAGAAGAUCAACCGAGAUAUCGAAAUAGAAAGGCUGAAGUGUCUAUCAAUGUUUUGGGAGUGUGCAAUCCAUAUACGGAGUUCAUAUAUGGUCUAUCUGGUUGGGAACGAUCUGCUCGCGAUUGUCGUGUUUUACGUGAUGCUUUGGCUAGGACGAUGGAUUAAAGGUCUCAAUAGGUAAAUCACAACAUAAACAUUAGUCCAACAACCCUAUAUAGUGUGAGGAAACAAUUAUACUAACAGUAUACUAUCUUUUAGGAUAAUAUUAUCUUGCUGAUGCCGGCUAUAUGAAUUGUGAGGGUUUUUGACCCCGUAUAAGGGUCAAAAGAAAUGGGGUGCAAGGAAUGUAAUCGAGAGAGCGUUUGGAUUAUUGAAAAAGAGAUGGGCCAUCUUACGUGACACCACUUGAUUCUCUCCUGAAGUGCUUUCCAGAAUUGUGCAUGCAUGGUGCUUGUAACACAAUUUCAUUAGACGUGAAGUAAGUGUUGAUUAGGUGGAGUAGGCCUUCAACAGAGUUUCGAGGGAGGAUCCGGCCGAACCGGCAAUAGAUGCAUAAGAGAUUUAUGAGUUUGUGCCUGGAAUGCAGCCACGUCUGGAAUGGACAUUGUUUAGGAUUCAGAAGGCUCAUGAAAUGUGGCAGAAAAUGACUAGGCAUUGAAAAAUUUGGGUUGAAUUGUUGGUUUGAUGACGAUUUAUGUGUAAUGGAGAAAUAUCUUCUAGAUUUUUAGAAACAUGGUUCAUUUUUAGAACCUGUCAUCUAUAUUGAAGGUAGAUGAGACUUGUAUUUGGCAAUGGUUAAUUUGUUGGGAGUCCCUCUGUUUAUUGCAUAUUGGCAUUCAGAAGGGUGUUGAUAGCAACCUUUUUCGCUGUUGUCUUAUUUCUACGGUUGGGGGAAUAAUGUUCUGGCUAUCGGUUAGAAUAUCCUAUUAGGGAGAGUGAGCUGUAUGUUAGCAGCUGGGUUGAAUAUACUACUGUUUUUUUAAACCAGUAACCUAUACGGCUGUUGUUUUCAAAUAUAAUGAUGGGUUCAAUAUAUAGCUAGUAAUAUACUGACGUUUUUUAAUCCUUUUGUAACUAACUGCACAUACGAAGAAGAAAAGAGAAAAUAAUGCACAAACUGCAAGAUAGUACUUUCCAUGGUCACUCAGAAUUAGACCAACUACUUGUCAAGUGUAUCAUUUCAUUGUUGGAGAAUAGGAAGGUGGACGAGAAAGGGAAGUUUCUCCUAGGUGCAUAUUCCAUAUAGAACAAAUGAUGGAAGCUGAGAAAUCAGGUUGUGGGGUGCAAGCCAAUCCGAACAUAAUGUCUCGGUGCAAAUUGUUGAAGUCAAAAUUCUUAGCCGUGCAGGAGUUAUGUGGCUUAAGUGGCUCGGGUUGGGAUGAGCACAUGAAGUGCGUUAUCAUGGAGGAUACUGUGUAUGCAGAUUAUGUGAAGGUAGUACGUUAGUUCUCUUUUAGCUUGGUAGUGUAUGUUCUGUAGAUAAUUGGUAGUUACAUGCAGCUGUUGUUCAGUGUUGUAGUUGUCAAAUACGUGCCCUGUUGUAUUAUGUUAAUGAAUGUUGCAUUAGUUAUAGAUGAUUGUUGCUUGUUGUAUUAUGUUAAAUGUUUGUUUUUUGUGUCCAGGAGCACAAACAUUAUGCUAACUUCGAGUCCCGUUCCCCUGUUAUGAUGGUCUUGAAUAUGUGUUCGGUAAGGUAUGUGUAACUGGCUCACAUGCUGUUGGCUUGAAAGAGCUGAAUCAGACUAUCCCGCGUCUAAAAAUAGAGGUACCAAG